GAUCAUGGCUCAGGAUGAACGCUGGCGGCGUGCCUAACACAUGCAAGUCGAACGAAGCAAUUAAAGGAAGUUUUCGGAUGGAAUUUGAUUGACUGAGUGGCGGACGGGUGAGUAACGCGUGGAUAACCUGCCUCACACUGGGGGAUAACAGUUAGAAAUGACUGCUAAUACCGCAUAAGCGCACAGUACCGCAUGGUACGGUGUGAAAAACUCCGGUGGUGUGAGAUGGAUCCGCGU
rnacentral:rRNA from 1 species